CGCCCAAGAGAUCGGGAUAACACCUGGAAACAAGAUGCUAAUACCGGAUAACAACAGAUGAUGCCUAUCAACUGUUUAAAAGAUGGUUCUGCUAUCACUCUUGGAUGGACCUGCGGUGCAUUAGCUAGUUGGUAGGGUAACGGCCUACCAAGGCGAUGAUGCAUAGCCGAGUUGAGAGACUGAUCGGCCACAUUGGGACUGAGACACGGCCCAAACUCCUACGGGAGGCAGCAGCC
rnacentral:rRNA from 1 species